AGCGUGACCAGCAAACAUGCUGCUGCUGGCAGCGCUUGUCUCCACAGCCGCUUGGUCUUGUGGAUUUGCACAAGAAAUUCCCGUACAGAGCCCUGUAUCCAUCACCAAGUUUGAAAAAAGUGCACGCAUGUCAUGUGAAAUUGAAUCAUUAGGGGACAAAUUUGAUGACACCGUCAUACAUUGGUAUCAACAGAAGGAGGGUGAAGCUCCAGAGAGGCUCCUGUUCUUUUCAGGAGGGAAACCUUCAGUUGAAAGUGGUUUUCAAGCUAAUAGGUACAUGGUUGAAAAUGUUUCUGGACAGAAACGAUGCGUUCUUACGAUAAAAGAUGUAACUCCAGAUGACACUGCUACUUACUACUGCGCCUACUGGGAUCCUCACCGUGAUAGAAACUUAAAGAUCAUCAAGGCAAAAACCCCCAUCCCUCAGUGUCUUAACCACAGGGUUGUAACUGUGGCACUCCCCAAUCUUUCCCUCCAGUAUCAGCUGCAGGAAGGCGAAAAACCUUUUCCUGCUACCCACAAAGACCAGCUCACCCUGCACAACUAUCCUUUUCAAAUUCUGGGUGGUCAUUAG